CGCUCCGUGCGGCGUCUCCCGGGAGCUCCCCGGCCAUCUGCGGGUCAAUGAGAGACAACCGGCAGCAUCUGGCAGACAUGGCCACGGGAGGAAAGAAAGAGACAGUCACAUGUAGCAACAGUGAUGUAGAUCCUGCAGGAAGGCUAAUUAAAGCAGUGUGGAAAAAGAAAACUACACCAAGAAGGCAUGACCUAUACACUGGAAAACCUGUGUUGCCAGAACUCAGGAGACUCCCGUGGCAGCUGGAAGGCAUCUAGAGGCAUUUGAGAGGGUAACCACCCAUGUAUCUAAGCACUUUUCCUAGCAGGUAAAAGAGAAACCUGUGAUUCACUGCAGUGAUGAGAAUUUGUGGGGUGUGUGAUGGCCACAUCCAUGGAAACAUGAGCUGAACUGAUUCAGGUGAGUUCUGGCACAGGCCAGCAGUUGGCAAGACACCUGUAACAAGCUCUAGCUGCUGGAGGAAGGCAGCCAGGCACUGCCUGCUGAAGCAUCACCUCUUGUACCUGGGGACAAUGGGAUGUGUUUGCAGUUGGUGGCAAAAAAAAAAGAGAGGAAAGAAAAGAAACAAGCAUGGAAAAUGGAGGAACUGAAAAUGGAAUAGAGAUCUGAAUUUGGGUAUGGCAAACAAAUGAUACAAAGUAAGAGAGAAAUGCUUGAGCCCUAGUGGAAGAGAAGUUAGAGCAGUAGUUUCAAAAUAAGAUUAUGGUAGCUGUAGGGAAGGAGGGGAAGAUCACCAAGUACAGGACACAGUUCUGUAGAGGUGGGGGAAAUGAGCAGUAGAAAAGAGACCAGGGGUAAAGGAGGGACUGGAACAGGAUGGAGAAACAGAAAAGAUUCAGGAAAAAUGAGAAGGAAAAAAAUGAUCCACCCUUGUAAAGGUUUUUAUUUUUCACAAAUAAAAGCUGAUGAAGUAGAAUAAAGAAUAAACAUGUAAAUUCAACUGAAGGAAACUAAAAUGAUGGGAAGAGUGGAGGGUGGAGAAUGGAAUAAGGAUAACAAAAAAUUGAAACAUUAAUAAGUAGAAAAAAUAGAAGAAUUAGUAACCUGUUCUUAGGUAAUGUGGGCUUUGUAAAAUUUAUUUCUUAAUUCCCCACAGUCUAAGAAAAAGAGAUACGAUGAUAUAUGGAAGAAAUAGUGUUUCAUUACAUUAGUUUGUCUCACAUUUCAGGAAAAGGGGUCUCCUCAAAAAAAAACAACCAAACAUCAAAACAAUAAGUGUUUUCUUUUUUAUUUCAGAAAUAAGUACAGAGACUGUAACACCUGUAAUGCUGUUCUGUCCUCUCUCCCCUUUCUCUUUUUCUCAGUUUUGAGUCUAUGCCUCAGGGAUUUUAAUUUUGACAUCUUUCAUUCCACCCCCAUGUAUCAAAUUUAACGUCACUUUAACUUCUGGUUUUAAAUGAAGUAUUUUUAAAAAUCUCAUCGUUUUAGGCUUAUGGGGGUUUGGCUCUCUUAAUUAGUACCUUGACUGUGUAUUCAGUGGCACUGGCAUAAAUCUGCAUUUUUCCAUUGCACUUCUCAGCAAUCCAAGAGCAUUGCACAGUCAAGACAAAAUAUAUUUUACCAGUGAGGAGGAGAUGGCAGAGAGAUUAAAUUUCUUAUCCAGACCCACAGAGUUUUUGAGCAUGAAAGUGAAACCACACUUUGGGCACUGUUUAUUUGAAUGCUCCAACUGUAUGAAAUACAAACAUAAGAGGAAGAAAUGCUCACAUGAGUUUGGCUGAAAACAAACCUAUUUUGUGCAGAUACAGUGUUUAUAAUGCAUGGUGUAAGUAUCUGAGAUAAGGAAUUACCUACAAAGAUUAAAAAAGCAGCAUUUUCUAUUCCUUUCUAGAAAUAACAGGCUCUUAAUCUACACUUUAAUCAGCUUUAUUGUAAAUACACUCAUGUUAGAAUGAUACAGUUUGAUUUUCUUGUUCUAUUAAUGCAGUCAAUGCCACUUUUCAUCCUGCAGUCAGUCAUUCUUUACCCUGAAAAAUUGACCAUUUUCUAAAAGUAAUGCAGUUUUCCUGCUGUAAUGUGAAAUGAUAAUUCCUUUUUGUACUUGUGAAAAUCCAGCAGUAAAAUUACGAAGACAUGCUGGAGAAUUUUUCUGUUUGUGUAGCACUUCCAUGUGGAAGAUUCAAAUUACUAGUCUGACUUCUAAACUCUUCAUUUUUAAAAGAUAUAUCAAUAUAUCCACUUAAAUGGGUAGGAUAAGCCAGCAGUGCUGUUCUGACCAGCCCAGUCUUUGCUGUUUGUAUGCCAUAAAUCUACUUAAAAGUUGUGUUUGAUUGCCUGAAUCUAUCAAGGUUAGGAGUCACUUUUGAUGCAACAGAGUAAGGAGGCAACGUAAAUAUACUUGCUUUUAUAAAACUAAAUCUUGGACAUGUGUAACAUUUUUUAUUGGGAUGAACACAAACUGCUAUUCCAGACUUUCCACGGCACACCACUCCACCAGUGUCUACUUUAUAAAAAUGAGACUAAAUCCCACAGUCAGUAUUAGACAGAAGGCUGAGAACUCAGCCCAAAAUACUGCCUGCUCUUGCAGUUCACUCUGCCAUUGAAGUUUUGGGGAAUGAAGCAGUUAAGGAAGUGCAAAUACCUUUUAUACCAAGGCUUUCUGGAUCAUGAAUGGCAAGAUGAAGUUAUCCUGGCUAAGAAGGUAGUGAUUUAUUCACAGAUGUGGAAGCUGGAUAUAAUUUUAAGAGAUCCUUUCAUGAAGAUAGUUAAAUGGAUAGUCUAUGUGAUACAAAAAAGGUUGACAAAGCUGAAGUUUGCAGUUUGGUGACAAAAGUUGAAGGAUGAAGACUUUUAAGUCAGACACAUUCUAAAAAAGGCAUUGAUGCAACUAUUUCCCAUUGAAAAGAGUAAGAGGAUUCAGAUCUAAGUUUAGAAAUAAUUAAGGCAUAAAAAGAUACAGUUGUCUAUCUAGGAGAGUGGGGAGCACUGAACAGUGCCUAAGAUACAAAGUUCCAUUAGGACAAAUUUCUGACUGGGUUUUUUGUUGCACAGGCUGCUUUUGUUUGGAAUAUGUUGCACUGAAAUGAAUGGCAAACCUCUUUGUAUCCAUCCUCACAGAUGCACUGAUGCAAGGGCAUGGGGUAAAAGUGGGAUUUCAUAAAGUUCUUCCAGGCAUGAAGUGUGAAAAAGGUAUAUUGAAGACACACUGAAAUGAAAGGAAAAAAAAAAAAGGAAGUAAUAAAUGGAGAAAGAAAGCAAAAAAUUGGCUUAUAGGGAUGAAAUGCUGCGGAGGAUUAGUGUGCAGGGGAAGAUUUUGUAGAGUUCACAUUUAUGCAUUAAUUGGGAGAAUAAGAAUCUGUGUAUUAAGCUUCAUGCCCAACUUUCCGAGGCUGCAGUGAUAACCAAUGAUCUAAAUCCACUUCUGGGCUGAAGAGAGCCCAAGUUUACAGCCAGACUGUCACAACUGACCUACUUGGUACUCUUGACAGUGUCUCAGUGGAGAGACCAAGGAACAGAUGGGAGUACAGCCUGAUGCAUCACUCUGGUACCAGUCUUUUCUGAACAAAAUCAAAUAUUUUUGAGAGUACAAAACAUACUGAAGAGCCCUGGAUGUUGCAGACCAGAAAAUGCCACCAUUGCCUGCACAGAAAUUUACCUUCACCAGCUGGGUUUGGCUAAAAUUCCAGAAAGCUCGGCAGCAAUGUUUGUUUAAGGGCUCCUCAUUCCCUCUCUGAACUUCUCUCUCUCUCCAAAUUAUUGAACACAUUCCAGCUAUAAGUACUGAGCACUAUUUCCUUGGCACUGAGGCUUCAGUGGGCUUGAACCAAGAGCUCUUGCUGUGCAAAUCAAACCAUAGGGCAACAAUGCACAUCACUGAGCUGAGAACCUAGAGGGAAGAGUGUUUCAUGAGAUAUUCUAGUUCAGAGAUCUCAUUUCCAUUCAUUCUUUACAGUGGACUCUUCUGCAGCCAAAGAAUCUCCCUCUCCUUACCUGUUUUACAAAUGGGUUGAAGAUUCAGCUUCCUUCUGUUCAGUGAGGGAAGGGAUCAUUUUUUCAGCCUUGGCAGUGUGCUGUUCUUUUCCUGCACAACAUCUGCUGCAGUUUUCAUGGCUUGAAUUGUUCCUGGACUCAUUUUAAAAGGCAUGUUUCAGAAAUGUCUUUGAGGAUAUGAAUUAUUAGUCAUUGUUUUAUCUUCUAGGGUGUUCUUCAUUUAUCUUUGUUAUUUUCCUUUUUAAAAUUAGACUAAAGAGGCUUUGGAGUUUAAAGUUUAUAGGUUUUAAUUCAGGUUUAGACUAAACAUAACAAGAAUGGUAAAAUAACUCAUAGCAAUUGGAUUUUAGUGCAGUUUCAGUAAUUAAUUUUUGUAUGACAAUAAACUGGGAUUUAAUCUCCAUCUAACUCAUGCUUCUUACCACUGUAGUAUUUGUGUACACACUUUUCACAUACAUGUGACAAUUCUGACAUUUACUGUUCCAAAGCCUUUGCAUUAUUUGUACCUCAUACCUCAUUUCUCCAUCACUUCAUGUAUGACAAGAUGUUUGAUACUUAGUGCACUUUUAAACCACUUUUUUUUUUUGGUGUAAAGUAACUAAAAAAGAGAUUUGGCUCUUCAGUUUUCUCACUUAAUUCUGAUUAAUAUGUUUAAUUUUUUUCCAGAACAACUCACAUCUUCAUCUUGGGCUCUGUAUUUUACUCAGCAGCAUCCUCAACAUUUACUCUGCCUGUGACACCCUUGCCAAACUUCCAAAGGCUGUUUGGGAUACACAGUUUCCAGUAGGACAUUUUGAAGACAAAAGGUUUGUGCAAGUUUAACUUGGAGCAUGAACUGGUCUGAAGAACAGUGUCAUCAAUUUUGUUAUACUUGUGAGGUAUUGGAAGAGUACUGCAAGGUAACCCUACAAACAAAGUGCAAGGGUUAAGACAUUUUCCUGCAGCAUACCUUACUUAAUUAUGAAUAUUAAUCCCUAUUAGGAGCAUUAGGCUUCCUCAGGGAUUCACCUAAGGACAACUGAAAUACAGGGGAUGAGUUGAAGACCAAGAUUUUGACAAUAUUUUGAGAUUUGAUGGAGAAGACAGUCAAAAGUGUCAACUACAAGGGGCACUGAAGUUGCUUUAUUUACUUACUGGUGAAUGUCUGGAGUAAAAACUGAUAAUCCCCAAAACUCAAAGAAAAAUACUUAAACCAGGAAUAUUUUUCCUAUAGAUUGUCAAACAUUUGUAUUCCGGAUGCAAAUGGAGCCUUGCUGCUUUUGCUGAUCACUUGCUAGUGGAGGCUGACACCCAUUUGCAGAAGAAUCAGCACACAGACUUUCAAGGUUACCAGUGUCAAACUUCUGCACAGAACUGCAACAUCUUCAACCAGGACUUCAUUCCUUUGCUUCUAACACUCUCUGCUUACCAAAUUAUCCAUUGAACUCCUGUGCUCCUCCAAAGGAAAAAAAUAAAAAAAGGAAAUGGGGUACAAGGCAAAAAGGUAGGGAGGGAUACUGGCUACAAGGUUAGUGCAGCUUUAUGGAUGCCCAAAAUUUUGGGUUUUGCUGAACACUUUCCAGUGGAGACUGACACAGUGAAUUUUGUCGUCUUGUUUGACUGAAGUUUUGAAGUCAAGGUAUUACUGGUUAAAUCCCAACUUCCAGUGUUUCAAAUGAUCCUGGGUGAGGAGCAGAGAGAGGGGCAGGAAAGAAGAACAAGAAAUCACCCAUCAAAACAGUAAGUUUUUAACUGAUUUAUUGACAGACCUUUAGUCUUCUGAUGGGUCAGUUAAGACAAAAACCAUCCAUAGGCUUCUCUGUUCCGUCCCUUGUCACCCCAAUCCAUACUUCUGUCAGAUGUUUCUGUAAUGAGUUCUAGACUAAGUUCAUUUUUAGAAAACAAACAGAAGGAGAAUGGCAUUACUUUAACCUGAGACAGUCUCUGUGUCAUGAGCUACAUUGUAGAUCUAGGGGGGAGGAAUAAGUAUAUUAAAUAAUAAUAUAUAAUAAUAUAAUCACAUAAAGAAAGGAGGUUAAAGGAACUGACAGUUCUCCAUUUUUUCUGGAUACCUCCUGCUGUCUUCUGCUCUUUGACACACAGGGAACCCAUAUGUGCCUUAAAUGUUCAAGAUCUUCAGAUGCAAUUGAUGGGUGCUGAUGGGUCAAUUCCACAGCAUUCACUGUAUAUUGAGUCUAACCAACACUAAUAAUUACCUGUACUACAUUGCUAGAAUUCUUGUGCAAGUUGUUCUUUUUGUAUCAUUUGAAAUGGAGUAGUACAGCACAGAGGAGCUGGAAUCCCUAUCCUGAAGAAUUCAGUCUAGAAACUUACUUCCAAUGUCAAACAAAAGACAGAAUGUAUGAAAAGAUAAAUUAUUCAGUAAUGAAUCCUACACACUUAUAAUGCACAAGUUGUAAUGAAUCUCAGUUGCUCUUGUAAUUUUGUAAAGUUGUUUACCUAAUAUGGUAGAUGUGCCAUAUGGUACACUAAAGAGAGUGUUAGAAUGAGGACGUGAAGAUUUUGAGGGUUUUAUUUCUAGUUCUGUAGGCAUCUGUAAACUACAUUCAAGCUGUCCUAGAAUGUGAGCAGAGGAAGAAUGCAGGCUGCUCUGCCCCUUCAUGCUGACUGCUGCUGCCACCUGAUAACAUCCUGCAUGUCUUCCUCCCUUGUUCCUCAGGCACUGUGGCCCAGCAUGGGGCUGUACCCUGGCUAGAUGCCAUCAAAGAAAGUCUUUCAGCCACUCUGCACCUUUAGGUUGGCUUGGCUUAAGUCAAGCUUUUUCACCCUUAAUAAAUCAUUUGAGCAGCUGAUUAACUCUUCUGCUGGGUAGGGAAUGUGACCAGGCUUCUGUUCCAGAGAGUUCUUUGGUAUGUUGCUUAUAGAAUUUCACCAUAGCUAAAACUAGCAACGUGCUCGACUGUGGCAGCAGCAGAGGUUGGGACUGCCCUGCUCAAAGCAGCAUUUCUGUCUUGUAAGAAACAGUCAACGUGACCUACAGUGAUGUCUGUAAAAUCACAGCUACUUUGCAGCACUGUAAUUUGUCAAAAAUUGAUAAAAUGGGAGUUAAAAUUCAUACAGAUGAAAAGGGCAGUUUCUUGUUCACCCUUGUGUGUCAAGUGAUGACUGAGAAAACCAUUUGAGUACAAGAAUAAAAUAUUAAUAUAAAACUCAGAGAAUAUAGGCAGUCUCUCAGGGUGAUGCCACAGGGGUGAGUGGAGCCUUGGGAAAAGCUUAACAUUGUAAUUUUUAGUUAUCAGCCAGAGUCUACUGCAGGUGAGAAGAGGACAUAGAAACUAGAAGAGUUACUCACUAUGAACUGAAUUUCUAGAAUUUUUUCUUUUAAGGUACUUGCACUAUAUUAUUUGUGGCCUGUAUAUUAAGAGCAAAUAAUUUCAGUUUUUAUGUGAA